rnacentral:rRNA from 1 species
AGGACGAACGCUGGCGGCGUGCUUAACACAUGCAAGUCGAGCGGAAAGGCCCUUCGGGGUACUCGAGCGGCGAACGGGUGAGUAACACGUGAGCAAUCUGCCCCUAGCUCUGGGAUAGCUCCGGGAAACCGGGAUUAAUACCAGAUACAACCACUUUAGACAUCUUUUGUGGUGGAAAGGAUUCCGGCUAGGGAUGAGCUCGCGGCCUAUCAGCUUGUUGGUUGGGGUAACGGCCCACCAAGGCGACGACGGGUAGCCGGCCUGAGAGGGCGACCGGCCACACUGGGACUGAGACACGGCCCAGACUCCUACGGGAGGCAGCAGUGGGGAAUAUUGCGCAAUGGGCGAAAGCCUGACGCAGCGACGCCGCGUGGGGGAUGAAGGCCUUCGGGUUGUAAACCCCUUUCAGCAGGGACGAAGCGAAAGUGACGGUACCUGCAGAAGAAGCGCCGGCUAACUACGCGCCAGCAGCCGC